CACGGAGUUAGCCGAUCCUUAUUCAUAUGCUACCGUCAUAUUCGUCACAUAUAAAAGCAGUUUACAACCCGAAGGCAUUCAUCCUGCACGCGGCGUUGCUCCAUCAGACUUUCGUCCAUUGUGGAAAAUUCCCUA
rnacentral:rRNA from 1 species